rfam:Gorilla gorilla gorilla genomic chromosome, chr7, whole genome shotgun sequence
GCUGGGCAUGGUGGCACGUGCCUGUAGUCCCAGCUACUUGGGGGGCUGAGGCAGGAGGAUCACUUGAGCCUAGGAGGUCAAGGCUGCAGUGAGCCGUGUUCGUGCUACUGCACUCUAGCCUGGACAACAAAGUGAGACCCUGUCUCAA